CCGCAGCUGGCCCCCAACAGCCGCAGCUGGCCCCCGCGAGAACAAAAAGCAAGGCGAGAAGACCAGCGAGUUGCUUCAGGAGCCCUUUUUCGUGGAGUAUCCUUAGCCAGUACCACUUCCCAGCCUGGGAAGCAAGCACGGGCUUGCUGCAGUUGUUGCUCUGCAGGCAGGGAGUAGCUCUGCAGCUAGAGAAAAUGAUGCUCAUCUGCUUCAGCGCGAGAGAGUAAAGUGUACAGGUGUCCAUAUGCAAGAUGGAAAGCACGUAGGAAACUCGCAUACUACGUCUUCAAAUAGCAGCACUGUGACGUAAAGGUUUCAGGAGACCUAUGAGCAAUUGUUAACUAUGGACAUGGUCCUGCUCAAAGAAAAAAACCUGUUGUUAUUACAAAAGGAUGUGGUCAAGCUUAUUACAAGUUCAGUGUAAUCUACCUAUUCCUUCAUCACAUGAAAUAAAAAAGUGGAGAAAUGCUUCUAA